rnacentral:rRNA from 1 species
GAUGAACGCUGGCGGCGUGCUUAACACAUGCAAGUCGAACGGAAAGGCUCCUGCUUGCAGGGGUACUCGAGUGGCGAACGGGUGAGUAACACGUGGGUGAUCUGCCCUGCACUUCGGGAUAAGCCUGGGAAACUGGGUCUAAUACCGGAUAGGACCACAUUUUGGAUGGUGUGGUGGAAAGUUUUUCGGUGUGGGAUGAGCUCGCGGCCUAUCAGCUUGUUGGUGGGGUAAUGGCCUACCAAGGCGUCGACGGGUAGCCGGCCUGAGAGGGUGUACGGCCACAUUGGGACUGAGAUACGGCCCAGACUCCUACGGGAGGCAGCAGUGGGGAAUAUUGCACAAUGGGCGCAAGCCUGAUGCAGCGACGCCGCGUGGGGGAUGACGGUCUUCGGGUUGUAAACUCCUUUCGCUAGGGACGAAGCGCAAGUGACGGUACCUGGAGAAGAAGCACCGGCUAACUACGUG